rnacentral:rRNA from 1 species
GUGGGGAAUUUUGGACAAUGGGGGCAACCCUGAUCCAGCCAUGCCGCGUGCGGGAAGAAGGCCUUCGGGUUGUAAACCGCUUUUGUCAGGGAAGAAAUCCUUUGGGUUAAUACCUCGGAGGGAUGACGGUACCUGAAGAAUAAGCACCGGCUAACUACGUGCCAGCAGCCGCGGUAAUACGUAGGGUGCGAGCGUUAAUCGGAAUUACUGGGCGUAAAGCGUGCGCAGGCGGUUUUGUAAGAUCGAUGUGAAAUCCCCGGGCUCAACCUGGGAACUGCAGUGGUGACUGCAAGGCUGGAGUGCGGCAGAGGGGGAUGGAAUUCCGCGUGUAGCAGUGAAAUGCGUAGAUAUGCGGAGGAACACCGAUGGCGAAGGCAAUCCCCUGGGCCUGCACUGACGCUCAUGCACGAAAGCGUGGGGAGCAAACAGGAUUAGAUACCCUGGUAGUCC